CCUACGGGAGGCAGCAGUGAGGAAUAUUGGUCAAUGGACGAGAGUCUGAACCAGCCAAGUAGCGUGAAGGAUGACUGCCCUAUGGGUUGUAAACUUCUUUUAUAAAGGAAUAAAACGAGGCACGUGUGCCUUUUUGCAUGUACUUUAUGAAUAAGGAUCGGCUAACUCCGUGCCAGCAGCCGCGGUAAUACGGAGGAUCCGAGCGUUAUCCGGAUUUAUUUGGUUUAAAGGGAGCGUAGAUGGGUUGUUAAGUCAGUUGUGAAAGUUUGCGGCUCAACCGUAAAAUUGCAAUUGAUACUGGCAGUCUUGAGUACAGUUGAGGUAGGCGGAAUUCGUGGUGUAGCGGUGAAAUGCUUAGAUAUCACGAAGAACCCCGAUUGCGAAGGCAGCUUACUAAACUGUGACUGACAUUGAUGCUCGAAAGUGUGGGUAUCAAACAGGAAUAGAUACCCUGGUAGUC
rnacentral:rRNA from 1 species